rnacentral:misc_RNA from 2 species
AACGCAUCUUGCGCUCUUUGGCAUUCCGAAGAGCAUGCUUGUUUGAGUGUCGCAAAUCUCUCACGCCCCGAGUUUUCGGACUCGCUGCGGCUGUGGACCGUGGCCGUCUGGCCGGUGCCCUCGGGUGUCGGCCCGGCCGAAAUACAUGCGGAGCGCGUCUGCUGCCGCGACGACCGAGCGUUGUAGACCCCUCGCUUGGCCCGCCGUGUUGCGCAGGCUCCUGCCUUAUACUAUUCGACCUCAAAUCAAGUAGGACUACCCGCUGAACUUAA